UAUCUACCACAGGGAAGUCCAUUCCACCACUCUUUGUCUUUCCACGAGUUCAUUUUAAGGAAUAUUUCCUCAAUGGUGCCCCUCUUGGUUCUGUUGGAUCAGCCAAUAAGUCUGGCUGGAUAUGUCAGACAAAGAUUUUGUUUUGUUCAUCAUCGAGACCAACAACACCAGCAAACAUCACGUCUGGGUUUAGAGUGGCCGGGCUAGUCCCAUUUAAUAGAUUUAUCUUCGAUGGUGACUUCGACUUUGCUCCAUCUUUCGUCACGGAUCGUCCUUUUAAUUCAUCACCAGUCCCAUCUUCAUAGAAAUCCCAGCAUCCAACAAUAACAUCGUCCAAGAAGGCCAAACUCCCGUUCCAGUCCAAAAAGACCAAACUCCCGUUCCAGAGAACCACAUCACGGCCAAUGUUCUUAGUUAUGUUAAUGAUCUUGAUGUCGUGGCCAUUUUAAUUUGUGAUUUUUAAAUAACUUUUGUAUCGUUAUCAUUUCCACCAAGAAUAUACUUUUGAAUCUUAACUUUCUUUCUUUAUUUAUUCUUUUAACUGAUGUACCGUCCCUUGGACUGUUAGUCCAUAAGAAUAACAUGGGCUUUUAUGCCCCCAUACAUGGAGCGAAGUGCCCCUUCAACGGGGCAUCUCGUCUUUUAAUUUU